GGGUAAUACAGGUGACUGGGGCUAAGUCGUAACAAGGUAGCCGUACCGGAAGGUGCGGCUGGAACACCUCCUUUCUGGAGUUC
rnacentral:rRNA from 1 species